GAUAAUGAAGUAAAUAUUUACAUUUAGCUUCGACCUAAAAAUUAGGAUACUAAAUAUAAUCCCUUAUCU
rnacentral:tRNA from 1 species